rnacentral:rRNA from 1 species
UCAUGUGGGAAACAUUGCAAGGUUGACC